GACCUUACUUUAUCUGUAAUUCCAUGAUCAUGAAGGUGGUUUCCCCAGGGUGAGGCUUACCCAUUGCAUUCCAGAUGGGCUGAUCCUUGCAAUUUCCCCAAAUUAAGAGAAUUUGACCACAUAAUUUGUAGUAGUGGUGCAUUGUAGGUGGUACCU